rnacentral:rRNA from 1 species
CACGUAGGGGGCAAGCGUUGUCCGGAUUUAUUGGGCGUAAAGAGCUCGUAGGCGGUUCGGUAAGUUGGGUGUGAAACCUCCAGGCUCAACCUGGAGACGCCACCCGAUACUGCUGUGACUAGAGUCCGGUAGGGGAGCGUGGAAUUCCUGGUGUAGCGGUGAAAUGCGCAGAUAUCAGGAGGAACACCAGCGGCGAAGGCGGGUCUCUGGGCAGUAACUGACGCUGAGGAGCGAAAGCGUGGGGAGCGAACAGG